AUUGAACGCUGGCGGCAGGCCUAACACAUGCAAGUCGAACGAGUGGCGGACGGGUGAGUAAUGUCUGGGAAACUGCCCGAUGGAGGGGGAUAACUACUGGCAACGGUAGCUAAUACCGCAUACCAUCGGAUGUGCCCAGAUGGGAUUAGCUUGUUGGUGAGGUAACGGCUCACCUAGGCGACGAUGCCUAGCUGGCCUGAGAGGUUGAUCAGCAAAACGGGAACUGAGAGACGGUCCAGACUCCUACGGGGGUCGGAAGUGUGGAAUAUUGGACAAUGGGUGAAAGCCUGAGACAGCCAUGCCGCGUGUAUGAAGAAGGCCUUCGGGUUGUAAAGUACUUUCAGCGGGGAGGCGUUACCCACAGAAGAAGCACCGGCUAACUCCGUGCCAGCAGCCGCGGUAAGAC
rnacentral:rRNA from 1 species